rnacentral:rRNA from 1 species
GACGAACGCUGGCGGCGUGCCUAACACAUGCAAGUCGAGCGAGUGAAUUUCCUUCGGGAUUGAAGCUAGCGGCGGACGGGUGAGUAACACGUGGGCAACCUGCCUCAUAGAGGGGAAUAGCCUUUCGAAAGGAAGAUUAAUACCGCAUAAGAUUGUAGCUUCGCAUGAAGUAGCAAUUAAAGGAGCAAUCCGCUAUGAGAUGGGCCCGCGGCGCAUUAGCUAGUUGGUGAGGUAACGGCUCACCAAGGCGACGAUGCGUAGCCGACCUGAGAGGGUGAUCGGCCACAUUGGUACUGAGACACGGCCCAGACUCCUACGGGAGGCAGCAGUGGGGAAUAUUGCACAAUGGGGGAAACCCUGAUGCAGCAACGCCGCGUGAGUGAUGACGGCCUUCGGGUUGUAAAGCUCUGUCUUCAGGGACGAUAAUGACGGUACCUGAGGAGGAAGCCACGGCUAACUACGUGCCAGCCGCCGCCGUAACAC